rnacentral:sRNA from 1 species
AAUUCGAAUUUUAAGUUUUAGUUGUUUUGUAAAUAUUGUUU